UAGCUCAGCCAGUUGAGCAUGGUGCUAACAAUGCCAAGGUUGUGGGUUCGAUUCCCGU
rfam:Apaloderma vittatum contig79001, whole genome shotgun sequence.